AUCUCCUUGCAGUGCAGGGGACUCUCAAGAGUCUUCUCCAACACCACAGUUGAAAAGCAUCAAUUCUUUGGCACUCAGCAUUCUUUAUGGUCCAACUCUCACAUCCAUAUAUGACUACUGGAAAGGAUGGCAAAAAUUACAUGAUAUACUUGAAAGUGCCUUAGAACUGUGAACGUUGAUGCUGGUAUCAGAUAUUUUCAAUGUUUAUAGUAUAGAUAUUUUAGAAUGUUUAUAUAGGUACAUUUUCAUAGUCUCUCAGUUCUUUAAAGGAAUAACCCUGCAAAAGUAAAUUUGCUUACUGCCAUGUCAGGGAUAUAUAGUAUUUCAAUAUAUCCCCCCAAAACAUCUACUCCCAGUUGCUUGAAAGAAAUAGUUACUUCACCCCACUGGAGAAAACCAACACUGCCACUGUUCUGAUUAUCUAUUGAUGUUGUAUAAUAAACUAUGGGGCAAAAUGCAAUGCUGUAUAAUGGCAAGUUAUUAUUCUUUCAUGGUUCUGUGGAUCAACUGGGUUUAGCUAAAUAGUUAGCUAAAUAGGCUGGAAGUUUUGGCCAUGAGGUCAGCUGGGACUAUCCACAAGUGCCCACAUCUGACUCUUCCACGUGGCUUAGGCUUCUCACAGCAUGGAGGUCUGAGGGUAGUCAGCCUCUCACCUGACAGCUGGCUUCCUAGAGGAAGAGAUUUUCUUCCAAUUCUGUGUGUCAGGGCAGUCACAGAGCCUGCCCAGAUUCGAGGCUCUUCCUCUUGAUGGGGGAGCAGCAAGUUUACAUCACACAGCACAGGGGAUGGGAGACACCAGCAUGGCCAUCUCUGGGGACGACAGCCUGCUGCAACCACCAGCCUGUUCCAGUGUUAGGGUGGGUAGGGACCACUUUACGUGAAAAGCCUUGUGGGCAAUCCUGCUGACUUCAGAAACCUAGAUUGUGUCCUGGGAUCUAAUUUCGAUUUUAAAAGAAAAACUGACAGAGAAGCACAACUACCUCAUGCUUGUAUCCUGAACAAAACACUUCUGUCACUCAGUGGGUAAAGAAUCCAUCUGCAAUGCAGGAGACGCAGUUCGAUCCCUGGGUCGGGAAGAUCCCCUGGAGGAGGACAUGGCAACCCUCUCCAGUAUUCUUGCCUGGAGAAUCCUAUGGACAGAGGAGCCUGGCGGUUGGACACAGCUAAAGCAACCGAGCGCACACGCAAAGGAUUGUUGUAUGAGCUAUAGAAGAUUAAGCAAGGAAAGCACUUAGCACAGUGCAUGCCAUGUUGGCAAACAGUAAAUGUUAGCAGUUGUUCUUAAUACUAGAUUUGAUCCUAUGGACAUUGGAAAGCUAUUGAAAAUUAUUGUUACUUGCUGUUGUCACUGUAGAUUACCGAACCUCUUUCUCCUUCAUCUUUAAAUAGUUUUUAUGAUUAAACAAGGAAGUUUUUGUAAAGUGGUUAGAAGAGUGCCAGAAACAUAGUGAUUGCUAUCUAAGUGUUUAUCACGUAAUUUAAUUUAAUCUCCUAAGGGAUAGAAAGAUGGUUUUCUCGUUUUAUAGAUGAGUAAGCUAAUUUCAGGGAAGUUCAGUUUCUUGCCUAAGGUAGUAUAGCUGAUAGAGUGGGGAAGCCGUGUUUCAUUUCAUAUUCAACCCAUGUUUUGUUUCAUGUUAUAGUGGUUGCAUCUCAUAA